rnacentral:sRNA from 1 species
ACACUUGCUGAACUGGCUCCUGGGGCCAUGAGGCUGUCACUGCCACUGCUGCUGCUGCUGCUGGGAGCCUGGGCCAUCCCAGGGGGCCUCGGGGACAGGGCGCCACUCACAGCCACAGCCCCACAACUGGAUGAUGAGGAGAUGUACUCAGCCCACAUGCCCGCUCACCUGCGCUGUGAUGCCUGCAGAGCUGUGGCUUACCAGGUGAGUCCUUCGCCACUGUCACCCUGCCCUGCUCACACCCCUUCUCAAGCCAGACCCCUCCACCCACCUCACAUUCCACCACCGGCCUUUGAUCCCCAAUCCCUACCACUGGGCAUCAAGCCACAGAUGCAGCCUUUCAUAUAUUCCAUGCCUCAGUUUACCCAUCUGCCUGCCUAACAGCAGACAAUCUGGGAGACCUCCUCAGUAUUUUGAGACCCCAGGGAAUCACUCACUUGUCCUUAGACUUCUCCCUUUCCAGGCCCAUCCUUGAGUCCGGACUCCCUCCCCAAGCCUGACAGGGCGGCUUUGGCUAUGUGUACAUGGUGCAAGUGCACACGUGUGAGCGCCUGCACGUGAGUAUGCGUGUGUCUGGCUUCACACACACACCUGCUGAGCAUGCCUGCGUGCCAGUGUCUCUGUGAGGUGGGGGCCUGGGAGUACUUGUGUGAUUGAAUAUUGGGCUCCAGUUUUUCUUACCUUGCUCUUGUGGUUUAAAAUGGCACGUGCCGGCCGGGCGCGGUGGCUCACGCCUGUAAUCCCAGCACUUUGGGAGGCUGAGCGGGGCCGAUCGCCUGAACUCAGGAGUUCGAGACCAGCCUGGCCAACAUGGUGAAACCCCGUCACUACUGAAAAUACAAAAUUUUAGCCGGGUGUGGUGGCACACACCUGUAGUCCCAGCUACCUGGGAGGCUGAGGGAGAAGAAUCACUUGAACCUGGGAGGUGGAGGCUGCAGUGAGCUGAGAUCGUACCACUGCACUCCAGCCUGGGCGACGAACGGCGUGAGACUCUCUCUAAAUAAAUAAAUAAAUAAAAAUAAAAUGACACUUGCCACUGGGCAGGUGUGCCCUGGAGGAGGGACCCCAGUGCCCAGGCCUCACCUACCACUUCAGCAUUUCUUUCCCAUCCCCCACCCCCAUCCCAGAGAGCUUUGGGGGCUGGGGGAGGGGCCAUGCAACAGCCUCACAGGUGCUUCCUGCUCAAACGGCUCUCUUGCCACUUUAUUCUCCCCAGAGACUCUGCUCCUAUCCUCCCCACCUCCCCCUAACUGAGCAGCAGUCCUGAGGCCCUGCCUCCCAGUCCCUCCUUGUUCCAGAUGUGGCAAAAUCUGGCAAAGGCAGAGACCAAACUUCAUACCUCAAACUCUGGGGGGCGGCGGGAACUGAGCGAGUCGGUCUACACAGAUGUCCUGGACCGGAGCUGCUCCCGGAACUGGCAGGACUACGGAGUUCGAGAAGUGGACCAAGUGAAACGUCUCACAGGCCCAGGACUUAGCGAGGGGCCAGAGCCAAGCAUCAGCGUGAUGGUCACAGGGGGCCCCUGGCCUACCAGGCUCUCCAGGACAUGUUUGCACUACUUGGGGGAGUUUGGAGAAGACCAGAUCUAUGAAGCCCACCAACAAGGCCGAGGGGCUCUGGAGGCAUUGCUAUGUGGGGGACCCCAGGGGGCCUGCUCAGAGAAGGUGUCAGCCACAAGAGAAGAGCUCUAGUCCUGGACUCUACCCUCCUCUGAAAGAAGCUGGGGCUUGCUCUGACGGUCUCCACUCCUGUCUGCAGGCAGCCAGGAGGGCAGGAAGCCCUUGCUCUGUGCUGCCAUCCUGCCUCCCUCCUCCAGCCUCAGGGCACUCGGGCCUGGGUGGGAGUCAACGCCUUCCCCUCUGGACUCAAAUAAAACCCAGUGACCUC